UAGCUCAGAUGGUAAAGCAUCUGCCUGCAACGCGGGAGACCCGGGUUCGAUCCCUGG
rnacentral:tRNA from 1 species